UGCAAGUCGAGCGGUAGAAGGAAGCUUGCUUCCUUUGAGAGCGGCGGACGGGUGAGUAAUGCCUAGGAAUCUGCCUGGUAGUGGGGGAUAACGUUCGGAAACGAACGCUAAUACCGCGUACGUCCUACGGGAGAAAGCAGGGGACCUUCGGGCCUUGCGCUAUCAGAUGAGCCUAGGUCGGAUUAGCUUGUUGGUGAGGUAAUGGCUCACCAAGGCAACGAUCCGUAACUGGUCUGAGAGGAUGAUCAGUCACACUGGAACUGAGACACGGUCCAGACUCCUACGGGAGGCAGCAGUGGGGAAUAUUGGACAAUGGGGGAAACCCUGAUCCAGCCAUGCCGCGUGUGUGAAGAAGGUCUUAGGAUUGUAAAGCACUUUAAGUUGGGAGGAAGGGUUGUAGCUUAAUACGCUGCAACUUUGACGUUACCGACAGAAUAAGCACCGGCUAACUCUGUGCCAGCAGCCGCGGUAAUACAGAGGGUGCAAGCGUUAAUCGGAAUUACUGGGCGUAAAGCGCGCGUAGGUGGCAAGGUAAGAUGGGUGUGAAAUCCCCGGGCUCAACCUGGGAACUGCAUCCAUAACUGCUUCGCUAGAGUACGGUAGAGGGUAGUGGAAUUUCCUGUGUAGCGGUGAAAUGCGUAGAUAUAGGAAGGAACACCAGUGGCGAAGGCGACUACCUGGACUGAUACUGACACUGAGGUGCGAAAGCGUGGGGAGCAAACAGGAUUAGAUACCCUGGUAGUCCACGCCGUAAACGAUGUCAACU
rnacentral:rRNA from 1 species